AUGGGUACUUGCUUAUCUGACCUGGUUAGAGAUUAUUGUUUAGAUUUUAUUGGUAUUCAGGAAACAAUGAAGAAUAACUUUUCCUCUAAAUUCUUGAGGAAAUUUGAUCCAGGACAAUAUUUUGAUUGGAGGUGGAUCCCUUCAAUAGGUAAAUCUAGGGGAAUUCUUUGUGGUACUAAGGAAGAUAAUUUUGAGGUUAGAUCCUGUGAGACAGGUAAAUAUAUCAUGAAGCUUGAACUAUGGGAUAAGGAAAAAAAAGUGGUAUACUGUAUUCUGGUAGUGUAUGGCUCUGCUCAUGAAGAGUAUAAAAUGGAUUUGACAGAGUUGUCUGACAUGUGUAGCAAUAUUACUUGCCCUUACAUUGUAGGGGGAGACUUUAAUAUUCUUAGAUAUGCUAAGGAGAAAAAUAAGAAAACUAUGAUGAGUCAUGCUACUGAUCUCUUUAACUCCAUCAUUAAUACAUUCUAUCUCAGGGAAGUUGACAUGAAUGGUGGUAUAUAUACUUGGUCUAAUAAUCAACAAACUCCUACCCUAGAAAAAUUGGACCGUAUACUUAUGUCCAGUUCUUGGGAAAGGCAAUUUCCUUUGACAUUUGUCAGGAAACUAACUACAGAGAUUUCAGAUCAUAGCCCUUUGCUCUUGAAUACUGAAGACUUUAUUCCUAAUACAAAUCAGAAGAGAGAUUUCAGAGUUGAUCUUAAUUGGCUCAAAAAUCCUGAGUUUAUACCCUUAGUUGCUAAGGUGUGGAUGAAACCUGUGAAUGCAAAUGAUCCCAUUGAUGUUUUAAAUAUCAAAAUGAAGAGAUUCAAGAAUUUUUUCAAAGGAUGGGGAUCUAACCUGUUUGGGAAAUCUAGAAAACGAAGGAGAGAUCUUAGAGAGGAACUUGAACAUCUAGGAAAACUAGAAGAAAUUGAUGUGCUUUCCAUUGAAUUAUAA
rnacentral:rRNA from 1 species